rnacentral:rRNA from 1 species
UACAGAGGGGGCAAGCGUUGUUCGGAAUUACUGGGCGUAAAGGGCGCGUAGGCGGCGUGACAAGUCACUUGUGAAAUCUCCGGGCUUAACUCGGAACGGUCAAGUGAUACUGUCGUGCUAGAGUACAGAAGGGGCAACUGGAAUUCUCGGUGUAGCGGUGAAAUGCGUAGAUAUCGAGAGGAACACCUGCGGCGAAGGCGGGUUGCUGGGCUGAUACUGACGCUGAGGCGCGAAAGCUAGGGGAGCGAACGGG